UACGGAGGGAGCUAGCGUUGUUCGGAAUUACUGGGCGUAAAGCGCACGUAGGCGGCUUUGUAAGUUAGAGGUGAAAGCCCGGAGCUCAACUCCGGAAUUGCCUUUAAGACUGCAUCGCUUGAAUCCAGGAGAGGUGAGUGGAAUUCCGAGUGUAGAGGUGAAAUCCGUAGAUAUUCGGAAGAACACCAGUGGCGAAGGCGGCUCACUGGACUGGUAUUGACGCUGAGGUGCGAAAGCGUGGGGAGCAAACAGG
rnacentral:rRNA from 1 species